CGGAUGUUAACGGCGGACGGGUGCAUUAACACGUGGGUAACCUGCCUGUAAGACUGGGAUAACUCCGGGAAACACGGAGCUAAUACACGGAUAGUUCCUUGAACCGCAUGGUUCAAGGAUAGAAAGACGGCUCUUCGGCUGUCACUUACAGAUGGACCCGCGGCGCAUUAGCUAGUUGGUGGGGUAAUGGCUCGACCAAGGCGACGAUGCGUAGCCGACCUGAGAGGGUGCAUCGCGUCGCACACUGGGACUGAGACACGGCCCAGACUCCUACGGGAGGCAGCAGUAGGGAAUCUUCCGCAAUGGACGAAAGUCUGACGGAGCAACGCCGCGUGAGUGAUGAAGGUUUUCGGAUCGUAAAGCUCUGUUGUUAGGGAAGAACAAGUGCGAGAGUAACUGCUCGCACCUUGACGGUACCUAACCAGAAAGCCACGGCUAACUACGUGCCAGCACCCCGCGGUAAUACGUAGGUGGCAAGCGUUGUCCGGAAUUAUUGGGCGUAAAGGGCUCGCAGGCGGUUUCUUAAGUCUGAUGUGAAAGCCCCCGGCUCAACCGGGGAGGGUCAUUGGAAACUGGGAAACUUGAGUGCAGAAGAGGAGAGUGGAAUUCCACGUGUAGCGGUGAAAUGCGUAGAGAUGUGGAGGAACACCAGUGGCGAAGGCGACUCUCUGGUCUGUAACUGACGCUGAGGAGCGAAAGCGUGGGGAGCGAACAGGAUUAGAUACCCUGGUAGUCCACGCCGUAAACGAUGAGUGCUAAGUGUUAGGGGGUUUCCGCCCCUUAGUGCUGCAGCUAACGCAUUAAGCACUCCGCCUGGGGAGUACGGUCGCAAGACUGAAACUCAAGGAAUUGACGGGGGCCCGCACAAGCGGUGGAGCAUGUGGGUUUAAUUCGAAGCAACGCGAGAACCCUUACCAGGUCUUGACAUCCUCUG
rnacentral:rRNA from 1 species